rnacentral:rRNA from 1 species
UACGGGGGGGGGCAAGCGUUGUUCGGACUUACUGGGCGUAAAGGGCUCGUAGGCGGCCAACUAAGUCAGACGUGAAAUCCCUCGGCUUAACCGGGGAACUGCGUCUGAUACUGGAUGGCUUGAGUUCGGGAGAGGGAUGCGGAAUUCCAGGUGUAGCGGUGAAAUGCGUAGAUAUCUGGAGGAACACCGGUGGCGAAGGCGGCAUCCUGGACCGACACUGACGCUGAGGAGCGAAAGCCAGGGGAGCAAACGGG